UGAGGAAUCUUGCGCAAUGGGGGAAACCCUGACGCAGCAACGCCGCGUGAGUGAGGAAGGUCUUCGGAUCGUAAAGCUCUGUCAGAUGGAAAGAACCGCAUGGGGGCCAAUACCCCUCAUGCCUGACUGUACCCACAGAGGAAGCCCCGGCUAACUACGUGCCAGCAGCCGCGGUAAGACGUAGGGGGCGAGCGUUGUUCGGAAUUACUGGGCGUAAAGAGCUCGUAGGCUGGAAAUUAAGUCUUUGAACAAAUCUCCCGGCUCAACCGGGAACCGUUUAGAGAUACUGAUUUUCUUGAGAACAGGAGAGGGGAAUGGAAUUCCUAGUGUAGCGGUGAAAUGCGUAGAUAUUAGGAGGAACACCAGUGGCGAAGGCGGUUCUCUGGCCUGUUUCUGACGCUGAGGAGCGAAAGCUGGGGGAGCGAACG
rnacentral:rRNA from 1 species